AUUGAACGCUGGCGGCAGGCCUAACACAUGCAAGUCGAACGAGUGGCGGACGGGUGAGUAAUGUCUGGGAAACUGCCCGAUGGAGGGGGAUAACUACUGGAAACGGUAGCUAAUACCGCAUACCAUCGGAUGUGCCCAUAUGGGAGUAGCUAGUGUGUGGGGUAACGGCUCACCUAGGCGACGAUCCCUAGCUGGUCUGAGAGGAUGACCAGCCACACUGGAACUGAGACACGGUCCAUACUCCUACGGGAGGCAGCAGUGGGGAAUAUGGCACAAUUGGCGCAAGCCUGAUGCAGCCAUGCCGCGUGUAUGAAGAAGGCCUUCGGGUUGUAAAGUACUUUCAGCGGGGAGGCGUUACCCGCAGAAGAAGCCCCGGCUAACUCCGUGCCAGCAGCCGCGGUAAUUC
rnacentral:rRNA from 1 species